UACGGAGGGUGCAGGCGUUAUCCGGAUUCACUGGGUUUAAAGGGUGCGUAGGUGGGUUGGUAAGUCAGUGGUGAGAUCUCUAGGCUUAACCUGGAAACUGCCAUUGAUACUAUCAGUCUUGAAUAUUGUGGAGGUCAGCGGAAUAUGUCAUGUAGCGGUGAACUGAUUAGAUAUGACAUAGAACACCAAUUGCGAAGGCAGCUGGCUACGCAUAUAUUGACACUGAGGCACGAAAGCGUGGGGAUCAAACAGG
rnacentral:rRNA from 1 species